GACGAACGCUGGCGGCGUGCUUAACACAUGCAAGUCGAACGGAAAGGCCCUGCUUUUGUGGGGUGCUCGAGUGGCGAACGGGUGAGUAACACGUGAGUAACCUGCCCUUGACUUUGGGAUAACUUCAGGAAACUGGGACUAAUACCGGAUAGGAUCUCCUGCUGCCUGGUGGGGGUUGGAAAGUUUCGGCGGUUGGGGAUGGACUCGCGGCUUAUCAGCUUGUUGGUGGGGUAGUGGCUUACCAAGGCUUUGACGGGUAGCCGGCCUGAGAGGGUGACCGGCCACAUUGGGACUGAGAUACGGCCCAGACUCCUACGGGAGGCAGCAGUGGGGAAUAUUGCACAAUGGGCGGAAGCCUGAUGCAACAACGCCGCGGGCGGGAUGACGGCCUUCGGGUUGUAAACCGCUUUCGCCUGUGACGAAGCGUGAGUGACGGUAAUGGGUAAAGAAGCACCGGCUAACUACGUG
rnacentral:rRNA from 1 species